CGGAGCUGGAAAUGCAUUAUUCUCAAGAAAACUACAAGUUGUGAACAGUCAUGGUUUCACUGGUUGUAGUGGCUGUAUUUCUCCUCCAGGGGCCUCUAUUUCAGCCCCCUCAGGCUGAAGCCUUCAAAAUCCUCCCUACUGAUGAUUCCCUCACCCAUCAACAAAUCACUGAGGCAGCUUUCCUCCGCAAGAUGGUAGAGGUGUGCCGAAACGUGGCCACUGUCCGGGGAAAAGACUUUGCUCUACCUAUCAACAGCAAACUGACUGUAACUACCGUCCAGAAAGCCUGCUCAAAUUCAUAUUCCUCCUCAUUAAAACUAUCCACUUUCAAUCUGGCUAUUAUUCAGACUUCCCUUAGCAAUGCAGCUGUGGAUCUAAAAGUGUUCAGUACUGCUCAUCAUUUUGAUGAUGAAGAUUUCAUAAAUGGACGAGACCUCAUCACUCAGGGCGUAGCUGCUGUGAAAGUCAGCAUCAAAAAUGGGAACUAUUUGUCUGCCCG
rnacentral:lncRNA from 1 species